AUUGGAAUUCCUGGUGUAGCGGUGGAAUGCGCAGAUAUCAGGAGGAACACCGAUGGCGAAGGCAGAUCUCUGGGCCGUAACUGACGCUGAGGAGCGAAAGGGUGGGGAGCAAACAGGCUUAGAUACCCUGGUAGUCCACCCCGUAAACGUUGGGAACUAGUUGUGGGGUCCUUUCCACGGAUUCCGUGACGCAGCUAACGCAUUAAGUUCCCCGCCUGGGGAGUACGGCCGCAAGGCUAAAACUCAAAGGAAUUGACGGGGACCCGCACAAGCGGCGGAGCAUGCGGAUUAAUUCGAUGCAACGCGAAGAACCUUACCAAGGCUUGACAUACACGAGAACACCCUAGAAAUAGGGGACUCUUUGGACACUCGUGAACAGGUGGUGCAUGGUUGUCGUCAGCUCGUGUCGUGAGAUGUUGGGUUAAGUCCCGCAACGAGCGCAACCCUCGUUCUAUGUUGCCAGCACGUAAUGGUGGGAACUCAUGGGAUACUGCCGGGGUCAACUCGGAGGAAGGUGGGGAUGACGUCAAAUCAUCAUGCCCCUUAUGUCUUGGGCUUCACGCAUGCUACAAUGGCCGGUACAAAGGGCUGCAAUACCGUGAGGUGGAGCGAAUCCCAAAAAGCCGGUCCCAGUUCGGAUUGAGGUCUGCAACUCGACCUCAUGAAGUCGGAGUCGCUAGUAAUCGCAGAUCAGCAACGCUGCGGUGAAUACGUUCCCGGGUCUUGUACACACCGCCCGUCAAGUCAUGAAAGUCGGUAACACCUGAAGCCGGGGCCCAACUCCUUGUGGGGGAGCCGUCGAAGAGAGAAACGCAGGUGGG
rnacentral:rRNA from 1 species